rnacentral:rRNA from 1 species
UACGGAAGGCAGCAGUGGGGAAUAUUGCACAAUGGGCGAAAGCCUGAUGCAGCUAUGCCGCGUGUAUGAAGAAGGCCUUAGGGUUGUAAAGUACUUUCAUCGGGGAGGAAAAACAAAACUAAUAAUUUUAUUUCUUGACGUUACCCGAAAAAGAAGCACCGGCUAACUCCGUGCCAGCAGCCGCGGUAAUACGGAGGGUGCUAGCGUUAAUCAGAAUUACUGGGCGUAAAGAGCACGUAGGUGGUUUUUUUAAGUCAGAUGUGAAAUCCCUGGGCUUAACCUGGAACUGCAUUUUGAAACUGAAAUACUAGAGUAUCGUAGAGGGAGGUAGAAUUCUAGGUGUAGCGGUGAAAUGCGUAGAUAUCUGGAGGAAUACCUGUGGCGAAAGCGGCCUCCUAAACGAAUACUGACACUGAGGUGCGAAAGCGUGGGGAGCAAACGAGGAUUAGGAUACC